UGACCACCCACAACUUGUGGGGCAAGGCCAUACGGACAGCCGGGUCAACUGCCGA
rnacentral:sRNA from 1 species